rnacentral:rRNA from 1 species
AGAGCGAACGCUGGCGGCAGGCUUAACACAUGCAAGUCGAACGGAUCCUUCGGGAUUAGUGGCGGACGGGUGAGUAACGCGUGGGAACAUACCUUUUGGUUCGGAACAACACAGGGAAACUUGUGCUAAUACCGGAUAAGCCCUUACGGGGAAAGAUUUAUCGCCGAAAGAUUGGCCCGCGUCUGAUUAGCUAGUUGGUGGGGUAACGGCCCACCAAGGCGACGAUCAGUAGCUGGUCUGAGAGGAUGAUCAGCCACAUUGGGACUGAGACACGGCCCAAACUCCUACGGGAGGCAGCAGUGGGGAAUAUUGGACAAUGGGCGAAAGCCUGAUCCAGCCAUGCCGCGUGAGUGAUGAAGGCCCUAGGGUUGUAAAGCUCUUUUGUGCGGGAAGAUAAUGACGGUACCGCAAGAAUAAGCCCCGGCUAACUUCGCGCCAGCAGCCGC